rnacentral:misc_RNA from 1 species
UUAAUUAAUUUAAUAAUUGUCUCAGACUGCAUACUUCAGACAGCGUUCACAGGUGGCUUCGGCGGGCGCGGGCCCGGGGGCGGAUGCCCCCCGGCGGCCGUGAGGCGGGCCCGCCGAAGCAACAAGGUUCGUUAAACACGGGUGGGAGGUUGGACCCCGAGGGGCCCUCACUCAGUAAUGAUCCUUCCGCAGGUUCACCUACGGAAA